AGAUAAAAGCAUUGCUGUUCCAAGUAAAGCCUUUUAUAGAUAGAAGAGCAGUUCUGUAUUUCUCACCUUGAGAUGUGGCUUUGCUUCUGAGGAAUAAAAGAGUUCCUUAAAAUUGUUUGAAAUCCACUGAUAAAAUAGAAAGAAGAAAAAUUCUGUUUUAGUUAUACAAGCUCUGUCACUGAGUAGUUUUGAAAGCUUGGGCAGACUAAUUAAUCACUGAGUUUCAGUUUCAUCACCUGUUAUAGGAGAAUUUCUCAUCAAAUCAUAAUUGUUAAUUAACUUCCUUGUACAAUCUUAAUAUCCCCACCAUCUUGUUCCUUCACUGUUCUAAAGUUGGAAAUAUAACAAUUCUGAGUCAAUGUGAAGAUCUAUUUUAUUUUAUCUGGAAAUGUGGCAGAUAUCCAAUGUUUCCUCUUUAUCAUCACUGAAACUCUUUUAUUAUGUUUCAGCCCUCUUUUUCUUCGGUUGAACCUCUUUAUUGGCCUCGUUCUCUCCAGUGGAUUUUCACCCUACUUUCAAACAUGCUUCAAAAUCUAUCUGUAAACCACUGUAAGAGUUACCUGUAUGAAGUAGAUUUUGUAUUAUGUUUCCUUCUUGCUUAAACACUUAAAUGAUUUCCUGUCCCUUAUAAGGAUUCACUUUUUGCUCUAACAAAAGGGUUCAUUGGAAAAAGAAAGCAUCAUUGAGCUACUAGUCAACUCUUUGGAGCUCUCUUAUCCUGAAAUACAUGUGGCUUCCUCCUUAGAAAAUAUCAACUUUCAUUGAGUGACAGUCCAUCCAUAUGUAUCAUCAAACAUGAGAGACAAGAUUGCCAAUGGACCUCAGACUAGAGCAAUGGCCACUGUUGUGAAGGUCAGGGAAAGAAAAUUAUAUCCAGUGGUUAGUGAGGUAAGGAUGGAUGAAAAUGUUUCUUUGUUGUGGCAUCAACUCCUUUGCUAAUUAUGAAGAAUGGCUAUUAAAAAGUAGGCACCAAAAAAAUAAGCAUAUCUUUAGGGACAAUGCUUAAAUAAGCUUGGGGUCUUAGCCAUGGGGUACAAUCACUUCUUUG
rnacentral:lncRNA from 1 species